UGGGGAAUAUUGCACAAUGGGCGCAAGCCUGAUGCAGCCAUGCCGCGUGUAUGAAGAAGGCCUUCGGGUUGUAAAGUACUUUCAGCGAGGAGGAAGGCGUUGUGGUUAAUAACCGCAACGAUUGACGUUACUCGCAGAAGAAGCACCGGCUAACUCCGUGCCAGCAGCCGCGGUAAUACGGAGGGUGCAAGCGUUAAUCGGAAUUACUGGGCGUAAAGCGCACGCAGGCGGUCUGUCCAGUCGGAUGUGAAAUCCCCGGGCUCAACCUGGGAACUGCAUCCGAAACUGGCAGGCUAGAGUCUUGUAGAGGGGGGUAGAAUUCCAGGUGUAGCGGUGAAAUGCGUAGAGAUCUGGAGGAAUACCGGUGGCGAAGGCGGCCCCCUGGACAAAGACUGACGCUCAGGUGCGAAAGCGUGGGGAGCAAACA
rnacentral:rRNA from 1 species